rnacentral:rRNA from 1 species
CAUUAUUUAUACAAAAUGGAGUGCACUUUAUUGUGGCUCUGAACCUUUCACAUAAUCUUACCCCAAGACUUGUUUGUGUGGCAUCUUUUAGGUGACAUUGCACUCAGGUAUACGUAGCAGUUAUGCUACAUUYUCCCCCCCCCCCCUUUUUUUUWAACAAUUUUUUUAACACAAGUUUGAGCUAAGAAUGUAAACAUUUAUUAAUUAUAUAAAUAACUUUUAACAAUGGAUCUCUAGGCUCUCAUAUCGAUGAAGAACACAGUGAAAUGUGAUAAGUAAUGUGAAUUGCAGAAUUCAGUGAAUCAUUGAAUCUUUGAACGCACCUUGCACCUUUUGGUAUUCCAAAAGGUACACCUGUUUGAGUGUCAUGAAAAUCUCUCAUCAAAAUAAUUUUUGGUGGAUGUUGAGUGCUGCUGCUAUCUAGCUCACUUUAAAUAUAUAAGUCUUUUUAUUCUUCUGUUUGUUGGAUUGACUUGGUGUAAUAUUUUUAUCAUCAAGGAAAGUAGCAAUACUUGCCAAUGUUUUUGGAAAAAGGACUCCUAAAUUGAUUUUAAAUCAUUUUUAUUUUUAAG